UAAUACGGAGGAUCCAAGCGUUAUCCGGAUUUAUUGGGUUUAAAGGGUGCGUAGGUGGCCUGUUAAGUCAGGGGUGAAAGACGGUAGCUUAACUAUCGCAGUGCCUUUGAUACUGACGGGCUUGAAUACACUAGAGGUAGGCGGAAUGUGACAAGUAGCGGUGAAAUGCAUAGAUAUGUCACAGAACACCAAUUGCGAAGGCAGCUUACUAUGGUGUCAUUGACACUGAGGCACGAAAGCGUGGGGAUCAAACAGGAUUAGAUACCCUGGUAGUCCACGCCCUAAACGAUGAAUACUCGAUGUUGGCGAUAUACGGUCAGCGUCUAAGCGAAAGCGUUAAGUAUUCCACCUGGGGAGUACGCCCGCAAGGGUG
rnacentral:rRNA from 1 species